rnacentral:misc_RNA from 1 species
GAAAAAAUGUAGGGUCGAUCUCCUGAAGCCUAGAGGAGAUGCGAGCCAACUCAGUUUCAUCAUGAUCUGGCUUAUCAUCGUCAUCAUCGUCAUUAUCUCUACUCAUUAACUUGUAGAGUUGCCAAUCUUCAUCCCUUUGACCAAAUGUAUCUUCACCUUUCCCUCGAUCAAAUGCUGCUGUUGUUAACAGUCGCAUCCUCUCUCUUUGGGCAGCAUUCAACCUCUCCCCGCGACCAACACCUCCAGAAACAUUAUUAUUGCCAUUUGCAUUGUUACCAUUUGUCUUCAAUCGCUUUCGCUGCUCAAGUUUUUCAGAGAGCUCUUUAUAUUUGGCUCGCAACUGCUCCAAAUAGCGUUCUGGGUUUUCCAUGCGCUUUUGUUCCUCAAGUUUCUUUUCCUUCUCUUUUUCUAACUCCUCCUCCAGACGCCUUUGUUUUGCUCGUUGCCGUGCUUCAGUUGUGGAUUUCAGGAACACUUGUCUUCUCUUCUCCUUGAGCUGCUCCGCCGAAAGUUCAUCAUCAGGUAUAUCAAUGAGAUAAUACUUCUCAGCUGCAGAAAUAUCCACUUUCUCUUCACUUGGAACUUGCUCACCCUUGGCCUUCCGAAGUGAUUGAGUAACUUUUGCAAAAGCGGAUUCAACUUCACGUUUAGAAGCAUAACCUCUACUCGCAAGGAACAACACAA